AUUGAACGCUGGCGGCAGGCCUAACACAUGCAAGUCGAGCGGAGCGGCGGACGGGGGCGUAAUGCCUAGGAAUCUGCCUGGUAGUGGGGGAUAACGUCCGGAAACGGGCGCUGAUACGGCAUACUAUUAGAUGAGCCUAGGUCGGAUUGGCUAGUUGGUGGGGUAAAGGCCUACCAAGGCGACGAGCCGUAACUGGUCUGAGAGGAUGAUCAGUCAAACUGGAACUGAGACACGGUCCAGACUGCUACGGGAGGCAGCAGUGGGGAAUAUUGGACAAUGGGCGAAAGCCGGAGGCAGCCAUGCCGAGUGUGUGAAGAAGGUCUUCGGAUUGUAAAGCACUUUAAGUUGGGAGGCGUUACCAACAGAAUAAGCACCGGCUAACUUCGUGCAAGACGCCGCGGUAAUAC
rnacentral:rRNA from 1 species